UACGAGGGGGGCAAGUGUUGCUCGGAAUCACUGGGCGUAAAGGGUGCGUAGGCGGGUCUUUAAGUCAGGGGUGAAAUCCUGGAGCUCAACUCCAGAACUGCCUUUGAUACUGAGGAUCUUGAGUUCGGGAGAGGUGAGUGGAACUGCGAGUGUAGAGGUGAAAUUCGUAGAUAUUCGCAAGAACACCAGUGGCGAAGGCGGCUCACUGGCCCGAUACUGACGCUGAGGCACGAAAGCGUGGGGAGCAAACAGG
rnacentral:rRNA from 1 species